UGGGGAAUAUUGCACAAUGGGGGAAACCCUGAUGCAGCGACGCCGCGUGAGCGAAGAAGGUUUUCGAAUCGUAAAGCUCUGUCCUAUGAGAAGAUAAUGACGGGAUCAGAGGAGGAAGCCCCGGCUAAAUACGUGCGAGCAGCCGCGGUAAUACGUAUGGGGCGAGCGUUGUCCGGAAUUAUUGGGCGUAAAGGGUACGUAGGCGGUCUAUUAAGUCAGGUGUGAAAGCGUGAGGCUUAACCUCAUUAAGCACUUGAAACUGAUAGACUUGAGUGAAGUAGAGGAAAGUGGAAUUCCUAGUGUAGCGGUGAAAUGCGUAGAUAUUAGGAGGAAUACCGGUGGCGAAGGCGACUUUCUGGACUUUUACUGACGCUCAGGUACGAAAGCGUGGGGAGCAAACAGG
rnacentral:rRNA from 1 species